AGAGUUUGAUCCUGGCUCAGGACGAACGCUGGCGGCAGGCUUAACACAUGCAAGUCGAACGAACCCUUCGGGGUGAGUGGCAGACGGGUGCGUAACACGUGGGAACCUACCCUAAGGUACGGAAUAACAUCGAGAAAUCGUUGCUAAUACCGUAUGUGCCCUUCGGGGGAAAGAUUUAUCGCCUUAGGAUGGGCCCGCGGCUGAUUAGGUAGUUGGUGGGGUAAAAGCCUACCAAGCCGACGAUCAGUAGCUGGUCUGAGAGGAUGAUCAGCCACACUGGGACUGAGACACGGCCCAGACUCCUACGGGAGGCAGCAGUGGGGAAUAUUGGGCAAUGGGCGCAAGCCUGACCCAGCCAUGCCGCGUGAGUGAUGAAGGCCUUAGGGUUGUAAAACUCUUUCGCCGGUGAAGAUAAUGACGGUAACCGGUAAAGAGGCCCCGGCUAAUUUCGUGCCAGCAGCCGCGGUAAUACGAAAGGGGCUAGCGUUGUUCGGAAUUACUGGGCGUAAAGCGCGCGUAGGCGGGCUAUCAAGUUGGGGGUGAAAUCCCGGGGCUCAAUCCCGGAACUGCCUCCAAAACUGGUAGCCUAGAGGAUGUGAGAGGAUAGUGGAAUUCCGAGUGUAGAGGUGAAAUUCGUAGAUAUUCGGAAGAACACCAGUGGCGAAGGCGACUGUCUGGCACAUUUCUGACGCUGA
rnacentral:rRNA from 1 species